UCGAAGACUACGACGUUGAUAGGCAGGGUGUGUAAGCGUUGUGAGGCGUUGAGCUAACCUGUACUAAUUGCCCGUGAGGCUUGACCAUAUAACACCCAAACAAUU
rnacentral:rRNA from 1 species